GGAAUAUAAAAAACCGUCUCUUAACUUUUAAUUUAAAAAAGUUAAGAUCCGGUUCUUAAAUAAGAUAUUUAAGAGGCGGUUCUUAGCUUUUUUAUUUAAACGUUAAGAGACGGUCUCUUAUAUUCC
rfam:Brassica oleracea var. oleracea cultivar TO1000 chromosome C5, whole genome shotgun sequence